UUUGUGUAGCUCAGUUGGAAUUAGAGCAUUUGUCUACGAAACAAAGGGUCGCAGGUUCGAGUCCUGCCAUGAACAC
rnacentral:tRNA from 1 species